rnacentral:rRNA from 1 species
GUGCCAGCAGCCGCGGUAAUACGUAGGGACCGAGCGUUGUCCGGAAUCAUUGGGCGUAAAGAGCGUGUAGGCGGCCUGUUAAGUCUUGCGUGAAAUCUCGGGGCUCAACCCCGAGCGGUCGUGAGAAACUGGCGGGCUAGAGUGCGGGAGAGGAGAGUGGAAUUCCUGGUGUAGCGGUGAAAUGCGCAGAUAUCAGGAAGAACACCCGUGGCGAAGGCGGCUCUCUGGAACGCAACUGACGCUGAGACGCGAAAGCGUGGGGAGCAAACAGGAUUAGAUACCCGUGUAGUCC